rnacentral:pre_miRNA from 1 species
ACUUCACAAGUGUAUUUCUACCGUAGCCUUUCCAGGUACGGUAGAAAUACACUUGUGAACACU